AAUAAACUAUGUGGAUAUGUAUUAAAUUUUUACGAAAUGGUGCCAUUUUGUUAGCCCCAAAACCCCAAUUUCUUUUCCCCAAAUUAGUUCCCUCCUCCUCGAAAUCCCUAAAUGUUUUUCCCAGAUUCAUUUCUUUUUUCCCCAAUUUCUUUUCCCAAACCAGUUCCCCCUCUCCCCGAAAUCCCUAAGUUUCUUUCCCAGACCCCUUUCUUUUUUCCCCAAUUCCUUUUCCCUAAAUCAAUUCCCCCUCCCCGAAAUCCCAAAGUUUUUUCCCAAAUCCCUUUCAUUUUUCCCCAAUUUCUUUUCCCCAAAUCAGUUCCCCCUUCCCGAUAUAUGCGCAAAAUUGAUAUUUUGUUGAAGAAGAUAAAGAUUGGUGAUUGCUUUUGGUACAGAGAUAUAUAUCAUUUCAUUUGUUCCUUGUUCUCGAUUUGAGAUAGGCAAGGUUUACAAGGUUUUUGUCACUUUCUCCAACAUGAAUUGCUUCCAUUCCUAGCUGAUCAAGAAAGACGCGGAAUUGAUCUCGAGCGGGAAGGAAAAAGUUUUGGAUUAAAUUGCAAAAUUUCCACAUUUUGCACCAAGUGUUCUCCGGCUUGCUCAGGAGUUAAGGAUCGUGAAGAUCUAUCCGCACUAUCCUACUUUAGGGUAUUUGAACUAAACGUUUUGAAUUAUGGCAUGUAUAGUAGGCUUAAUUAUUUUGUUACGUGUCAUAUUUGUCUAGGUUUAAAAUAUUAGUUCUGAUGCUCGACCAGCUAAUUUGUACAAGCCAUUAAAGUUGGCUAAUAUUGUUCAAGACAUAUUUAUAUUUCGAUUA